UCAUCGAAUCUUUGAACGCAACUUGCGCCCCUUGGUAUUCCGAGGGGCACGCCUGUUUGAGUGUCGUG
rnacentral:rRNA from 1 species